CAUGUCACCUCCUGGGAAAGGAGCCCGGAAGGAAAACCUGGGGCUCCAGUGUGAGUGGGGGUCCUGUUCCUUUGUGUGCUCGGCCAUGGAAGAGUUCUGUGAGCACGUCACUCAGCUCCUACAGCAUAUGCGUGGGCCUAGGGAGGAGGAGGAAAAGGAGGAGGACGAUGACCCACUUGAGGAAGAAAUCUCCUGCUUAUGGCAAGAAUGUGGCUUUUGCUCUCUGGACAGCUCUGCUGACCUCAUCCGCCAUGUCUACUUCCACUGCCACCACACCAAGCUGAAGCAGUGGGGGCUACAGGCCUUGCAAAGUCAGGCUGACCUAAGCUCCUGCAUCCUGGACUUCCAGAGCCGGAAUGUCAUCCCUGACAUCCCUGACCACUUCCUGUGUCUGUGGGAACACUGUGAGAGCUCCUUCGACAAUCCCGAGUGGUUCUAUCGGCACGUGGAAGCACACAGUCUGUGCUGUGAAUACCAAACGGUCGGCAAGGACAACCGUGUGGUGCUGUGUGACUGGAAAGGCUGUACCUGCACCUUCAAGGACCGCUACAAGCUUCGAGAGCACCUCCGCAGCCACACCCAGGAGAAGGUGGUGGCCUGUCCCACCUGCGGGGGCAUGUUUGCCAACAACACCAAGUUCUUUGAUCCCAUCCCAUCCGGCGCCAGACCUCAUUGGAUCAGCAGCGUUUCCAGUGUUCUCACUGUUCCAAGAGAUUUGCCACGGAGCGGCUACUGCGAGACCACAUGCGCAAUCAUGUGAAUCACUAUAAAUGCCCUCUGUGUGACAUGACUUGCCCGCUGCCUUCCUCCCUACGUACGCAACCACAUGCGUUUUCUCCACAGCGAGGACCGGCCCUUUAAAUGUGACUGUUGUGACUACAGCUGCAAGAAUCUGAUUGACCUCCGGAAGCACCUGGCCACCCACAGCAAGGAGUCAGCCUACAGGUGUGAUUUUGAAAACUGCAGCUUCAGUGCUCGGUCGAUGAGCUCCAUCAAGUUCCAUUACCGCAAAGUGCAUGAAGGAGACUCAGAGCCAAGGUACAAAUGUCAUGUGUGUGACAAAUGCUUCACACGUGGCAACAACCUCACUGUGCACCUUCGCAAGAAGCACCAGUUCAAGUGGCCCUCAGGACAUCCCCGUUUUCGGUACAAGGAGCAUGAAGAUGGCUACAUGCGACUGCAACUGGUUCGCUAUGAGAGUGUGGAGCUGACACAGCAGCUGCUGCGGCAGCCACAGGAGGGAUCAGACCUGGGAGUGACACUGAAUCAGAGCAGCCUGCAGGGCAUCAUUCUAGAAACAGUGCUGGGGGAACAAGGACCUGAGGAAGAGGUAGAAGAGGAGGAUGAGGGUGCUGAGGGACCAGCCCUCUCAGCCUCUCAGGACAACCCCAGCCCUGUCAUCCACAUGGUGAAUCAGACCAAUGCCCAAGGCCAGAGAGAGAUUGUCUACUAUGUGCUGUCUGAAGCCCCAGGAGAGCCUCCCCCAGCCACUGAGGAGCCGGAGGUUCAGACUGUGUGA